rnacentral:rRNA from 1 species
UACAGAGGGUGCAAGCGUUAAUCGGAAUUACUGGGCGUAAAGCGUGCGUAGACGGUUACAUAAGUCGGGUGUGAAAGCCCCGGGCUCAACCUGGGAAUUGCAUUCGAGACUGCGUAGCUAGGGUGCGGAAGAGGAAGCGGAAUUCCGGUGUAGCGGUGAAAUGCGUAGAUAUCGGAAGGAACACCAGUGGCGAAAGCGGCUUCCUGGUCCAGCACCGACGUUCAGGCACGAAAGCGUGGGGAGCAAACAGG